AAGAACAGUAUUGUGUAAUUCAAAUUACAACAUAUUUUACACCAUGAUAUUUUUAUUGGUUAGGGAUCAGAUACUGAUCUUUGGGCGAUAAUCAGGACCUGCAAAUGGUUUCAUGAACUCAUCGAUGCAAGCCAUUCUAAUCCUCUCAGGUGUUGCUGGAUUAUCAAGCGGAAACCAGUCGUGAUAGCCUUCCUCAGCUCGAGCAGCCAUAAUAGCAUCUUUGAUCGCGAACAAUACUGCAGAAGCCAGAAAAAA
rnacentral:misc_RNA from 1 species